AGUGGACGCUGGCGGUAGGCCUAACACAUGCAAGUCGAACGGCAGCACAGUAAGAGCUUGCUCUUACGGGUGGCGAGUGGCGGACGGGUGAGGAAUACAUCGGAAUCUACUUUUUCGUGGGGGAUAACGUAGGGAAACUUACGCUAAUACCGCAUACGACCUACGGGUGAAAGCAGGGGAUCUUCGGACCUUGCGCGAUUGAAUGAGCCGAUGUCGGAUUAGCUAGUUGGCGGGGUAAAGGCCCACCAAGGCGACGAUCCGUAGCUGGUCUGAGAGGAUGAUCAGCCACACUGGAACUGAGACACGGUCCAGACUCCUACGGGAGGCAGCAGUGGGGAAUAUUGGACAAGGGGCGCAAGCCUGAUCCAGCCAUACCGCGUGGGUGAAGAAGGCCUUCGGGUUGUAAAGCCCUUUUGUUGGGAAAGAAAAGCAGCAGGUUAAUACCCCGCUGUUCUGACGGUACCCAAAGAAUAAGCACCGGCUAACUUCGU
rnacentral:rRNA from 1 species